rnacentral:rRNA from 1 species
UACGUAGGGGGCGAGCGUUGUCCGGAAUCAUUGGGCGUAAAGAGCGUGUAGGCGGCCCGAUAAGUCCGCUGUAAAAGUCCAGGGCUCAACCCUGGAAUGCCGGUGGAAACUGUCGGGCUGGAGUCCGGAAGAGGCGAGUGGAAUUCCUGGUGUAGCGGUGAAAUGCGCAGAUAUCAGGAGGAACACCAAUGGCGAAGGCAGCUCGCUGGGACGGUACUGACGCUGAGACGCGAAAGCUAGGGGAGCGAACGGG